CGAAACAUAAAAUAAAUACGAGAGCUAGCAUUGUCUCUUAGGAAAUUUCAACACAAAAUAAAUAAUUUUCUCCCCAGUGUUACAUAUCAGAGUAUAACCAAAGCUAACACAAAUAAAAUAAAAGAAAUAUCUCCAGGAGCUAACUUCCACUCACAACAGCGUCUCUACUCUAGAGUAUCCGCACGAUGCCCAUGUAAAG
rnacentral:lncRNA from 1 species